rnacentral:rRNA from 1 species
UACGUAGGGGGCAAGCGUUGUCCGGAUUUAUUGGGCGUAAAGAGCGUGUAGGCGGCCAGGCAGGUCCGUUGUGAAAACUGGAGGCUCAACCUCCAGCUGUCGACGGAAACCGUGUGGCUAGAGUCCGGAAGAGGAGAGUGGAAUUCCUGGUGUAGCGGUGAAAUGCGCAGAUAUCAGGAAGAACACCAAUGGCGAAGGCAGCUCUCUGGGACGGUACUGACGCUGAGACGCGAAAGCGUGGGGAGCGAACAGG